CUGAAGCCCAUUUUAGAACAGUUACAGCAUCCUGGGAGGAGCUCCUGACUAACAAUUACUGUACUCUGCCAGUAGCUAGGCUGUGUGACCUUCGUGAGUGACUUAACCUCUCUGUGCCUCAUUUUCCUCAUUUAAUAAUAGUACCUACUUCCUAGGGUUGUAAGGAUUAAAGAGCACAAGAUAUAUUAUGCAUAGAUUGCAUGCAAUAUAUGUAAAGCCCUUUGCACAGAAAGAGCUCAAGAAAUAUUAGCUUUUGUACCAUUAUUAUUACCCUCUUCUCCAGCCUGGCCAUUCCUCACCCUUUUAGAGGGUUGCCACUGGACUCCCCUAACAAAUAUUGAGGGUUCUCCGUCACUUUCCAUCGAGUCUUCAUUCAGGGAGCAGCGCUCCCCACCAUUUAUUCAACAUCUACUAUGGGUCAGGAAUGGAGUGGUUUCAAUCCUCAGAUCACACUCGUGCUGGUGUCUCCAUUUUGCUGUCAGGUGAGGUUAUGAGAUUUAUGAGCAGGUGGAUUCCAACUUCCCAGCAACUGCGCAGAAGGUCUGGGACCCCAGGUUGUGGGGCCCCACGGGGGGUUGCUGUCAUAACCUGUGUGUUCUUGCCUGUUGGAAGCAGUGAUAUCAGAACGAAGGUGAGGGUUUCAUCAUCCUCUUGUAGAGUUUUUGCCUCUGAUGUUUUUGCAUCUUUGGGACCCUCAGUAGCCUGGUGUUUGGCAGCCCCCACCUUGACCCUUUUGCUCAUAUCCAUUGGUAGUGUCUUGGGUCAACUCUGAAGAAAUAAAUGUUCAGUGGGGCCUCCCAAUCCCCCCCAAACCCUCUAGAGUGUUGCUUUGUGGAGAGCCACUGCUUGGCUCUUCUUCUUAUACAGGAUGGAAAUGCCUCUUCCCUGGGGCCCACAGGUCAAAAGCCCAGGCCACUUUCAGACGUGGGCAGGUAACUUGCAAUCAUCUGGAGGAUUGAGGACAUGAAGCCUGACAUAGAAGACCAAUGUGAUGAUAAAGUAUCCCUGUUAGAAUCCCGAAAGCUCCCUGUAUUAUUAUUUUUUUCUGAUUAGCUGCUAAAUAACCUGCACUCUUGGGCACAUCCCCUAACUUUUGGAGGCUCAGUUUUUGCAAUAUGGUGGCUGGGAGUUUCAACUAGUUCUUGCAGCCCUUCCUUUGUCACAGACAAAGCUGAGACCUGGGCAGGGGGUUAUUCCAGGGGUCUGCACUCAUGUGGAAGCCACAGCAAAGCAGUGGUAGAUGUAUGUCUCUGGAUUCUCCUGCUGUAGGCAGGUUCUACAGAGCCACUUGGUCUCCAUGUCACCUCAAGGUCACCUUGUGGUCCAUGCUGCUUCCUGCCAGGCCACGAGCCAGGCAGCUGGAUAGAAAAAGUGCCUGUUUACUUCUCUGGCUUGGAGGGAGCUCUUUUUGAAUGAUCUUCAACAGGGCCUUUGUUUUCCCCCUGUGCCCUCACGUUUCCAGAAUACUCACACUUACAUCCCCAUUCUGGGCCUUUGUGUCUGCUGUUCCCUCUGAACUGAGAUGCUCACUUUCUCUUCAUGCCCUUAAACCUCCCCCUAGGGCCUGUGUCCAGGUGUGUGGCCUGUAUGGUCAGCUCUGCUAUCACCCUCUUGAAAUUCUUAAUAACUUUCAAACAAGGGCCUCCACAUUUUCAUUUUGCACUGGGGUCCACACAUUCUGUAGCCCAUCCUGCC
rnacentral:lncRNA from 1 species